rnacentral:tRNA from 1 species
UGUCAAGGGAUGGGAAUCGAACCCACGACCUUCCGCUUACCGGGCAGAUUGCCAUGGCCACUAGGCUACCCUGGAC